CCAGUUAAGUGUACAGGCAGAAGAUGUAAAGCUUGUAUAGUAUGUCUAAGGCUUAGAAUACAGUGAAUCUCAAGAAAGUUUCAUUCAGACAAGCAGAUUUCACCUGUAUGUCCACAAGAUGUUUUAAUGGAGGAACAGAAAAAAUAUAUGAUGUUAUACACAACUGAAUCAAGACUACAAUUCUCACCAUUAGUGGUGUGGAAAUGGGUCUUUGGAAGACAGAUCUUAGUAUCACAUCAGCAAAGUAGCUUGUCAAAGUCAGCCUGAAUAAAUUGUAAAUAUUAAGAUUGGCAAAUAUAUUUUAUCAUAUUUUGUUUUAAAGAGAAUGGCGUAUUUCAUAUAUCUCUUCUUAAUUUAACAUGGAAUGUAACAAUACUUUGGGAACAAAAGUGUUUUAUUUUCAUUAAAAUUUUUUAUUAUUUGUUUAAUUUGUUCUUGGUACUUUCUUUGACUUGCCUGUAUGCUUUACUUUAGCACACAAGCAUUUUUAAUAAAAUGCUAUCCACAGGUCUGAGAUGACUAUUAAUUAUGAAGCUAAAAGUUAUUGCUGACCUCUUGUGGGAUGGAGGUGAGUUUUUCAUACUUUGUGUAAACUACUUACAGGACACAUUUUACACUAUUCUAUUAAAAGUAUGUUACAAUAUGUCAAACUAUUACAACAGCUGUCAAGGCAAUACGUUACUUUAAAGCAUUAACCGUACAUAUCAAAAAAUAAUAACUGUAUCCUCAGUGAAUAUCUGUUGCUUUUGUUUGUAUUUGUUUUAAAUGUUCGUUCAUUUUGCCAUUCGUUUUCUGAACCCACCUAGUCCAGAACAUGGGUGUUUCAGAUAUAUUUUUAUGCUUUUUCCAUUUUUUUUUUUAAGUUCAGCUUUAGCGUUAAUGUUUCCUGUUUUCUUUCCUUCCCACUCACAUGUUUUUUACUCUGUAAGGAAAAACUUACACUUUGCAUGAAAAUAUAAUUAUUGUAAUAGCUACCAGUAAAUAAAAAGCCUGCAUGUAUCUUGUAACAAAAGAGUGUUUCUAAAUAAAACAUGUUACAUGUAUUAAUUUCUUAAAAUAAUUUGUGGAUGUAACUUACAUGAACUGCAUUGAAAAACUUUGUAAGUUUAAAGAAAAAGUCUAUCUGGAUAACAUCAGCUCUUCUUUUAUACAAUAACCUUUCUUAAAAUUACAAGGUAUACCCAUAACUUUUCGCUUUACGUCAUCAUGAAGUUUCCUUUGACACGGCAGUGUGAGAAUCAUCUGAUGAGAUAUG